rnacentral:rRNA from 1 species
UGGCGGACGGGUGGGGAGUGUCUGGGAAACGUGCCUGAUGGAGGGGGAUAACUACUGGAAACGGUAGCUAAUACCGCAUAACGUCGCAAGACCAAAGAGGGGGACCUUAGGGCCUCUUGCCAUCGGAUGUGCCCAGAUGGGAUUAGCUAGUAGGUGGGGUAACGGCUCACCUAGGCGACGAUCCCUAGCUGGUCUGAGAGGAUGACCAGCCACACUGGAACUGAGACACGGUCCAG